UACGUAGGAUUCGAGCGUUAUCCGGAUUUAUUGGGUUUAAAGGGUGCGUAGGCGGACUUUUAAGUCAGCUGUGAAAGUUUACGGCUCAACCGUGAAAUUGCAGUUGAUGCUGUUGGUCUUGAGUAUACAUGAGGUGGGCGGAAUUUGUGGUGUAGCGGUGAAAUGCUUAGAUAUCUCAAAGAACUCCAAUUGCGAAGGCAGCUCACUGGGGUAUAACUGACGCUGAUGCACGAAGGUGUGGGGAGCAAACAGG
rnacentral:rRNA from 1 species